rnacentral:tRNA from 1 species
GGUUGUUUCGUUUAGUGGUCAGGAUUCCCCAUUCAUACUGGGGAGAGGUGAGUUCGAUUCUCACAAUAACCA